GACGAACGCUGGCGGCGUGCUUAACACAUGCAAGUCGAACGAUGAAACCUAGCUUGCUAGGUCGAUUAGUGGCGAACGGGUGAGUAACACGUGACUAACCUGCCCCUUUCUCUGGGAUAACGCUCCGAAAGGAGUGCUAAUACCGGAUACUCACAUCGAGGCACAUGCCUUGAUGUGGAAAGUUUUUCGGAAAGGGAUGGAGUCGCGGCCUAUCAGCUUGUUGGUGAGGUAACGGCUCACCAAGGCGACGACGGGUAGCCGGCCUGAGAGGGCGACCGGCCACACUGGGACUGAGACACGGCCCAGACUCCUACGGGAGGCAGCAGUGGGGAAUAUUGCACAAUGGGCGCAAGCCUGAUGCAGCGACGCCGCGUGAGGGAUGACGGCCUUCGGGUUGUAAACCUCUUUCAGCACCGACGAAGCGCAAGUGACGGUAGGUGCAGAAGAAGGACCGGCCAACUACGUGCCAGCAGCCGCCGUAA
rnacentral:rRNA from 1 species